CCCCACUACACAGGUGGCAGGAGCUGCGCUGCAUGGGAAAGAUAUGUAUUUUAGGACAACCUUAUUCAACCUGUGUGGGGCUCAGUUUCGUUUCUGAUGGGGCCUAAUGAACAUCUUGCCACUUGAAGAUCUGUGAAACUUGUACAAGUAUGGGAUCUACUAUCUGGAAACCAAAUAUCUAGAGAGAGAAAGAAAUCUUCAAUAAAGUCAAGAGCAAAUAAUGUAUUUUUAAAAAUGAUUUCUGUUUUUCUCUGUUAUAUUGAUAGCAAAACAAUCCUUUUGGUUUUAUUUAGGAGACUUAAGGAUUCAUUUAACACCGAAGAUUAGUUGUGGAAACCUAAAAAAAUGGACCCAGAAAUUGUGGGGGGGUUUUUACGCCAUUCACCGAAGAUACAUCUAUUUUUAUAGCAUUAAGUCCUCAAUAUUUCCAUGGAUUAUCUGCCUUAAAUUUACCCUUAAGAUUGAAAAUGCUCUGAUAUUUAGAUAAUGGAUAAUGUUUUCCUGAAACAUUAUUUAGUCUCUAUAACUUUCUAUUUUUAUUAUUAUUAUUAUUACUUUUUUUUAAGUAUCUGGUCAAGAACCUCAUUUCUUUUAGGUUUUCUCUGACUAAAUCUAGAAAUAUCACAACAGGCUUACUGUUCCCUCUGUUGUUGAUUAGUCCUUUAUUACUCAACGUCUUGAUGUGUCACCUCCCUAAUUAAGAUGCCUCCUCGUUCCAUACUGGAUCAUUUUUCCUAGGAAUGAAGAACAUUCUGUUUUUCUAAAUAUAUAGCACACUUAAGGUUUGUGGGAGUUUGGACUCGUUUCUGGGAAUGAA